AUGCAUUUUCAUUACAAUUCCUUUUUGCUAGAGCAGAUCAUUUUAGAUGGAUAUAUAUGUACAUAUGUUGAGGAGAAGCUUGUCCAACAUCGUUUGAGAUGGUUUGGGCAUAUCCAGCGCAGGCCUCCAGAAGCUCCAGUGCAUAGCGGACGGCUAAAGCGUGCGGAGAAUGUCAAGAGAGGGCGGGGUCGACCGAUUUUGACAUGGGAGGAGUCCGUUAAGAGAGACCUGAAGGAUUGGAGUAUCGACAAAGAGCUAGCUAUGGACAGGGGUGCGUGGAAGCUUGCUAUCCAUGUGCCAGAGCCAUGA
rnacentral:rRNA from 1 species